rnacentral:rRNA from 1 species
AACGAACGCUGGCGGCAUGCCUAACACAUGCAAGUCGAACGAGACCUUCGGGUCUAGUGGCGCACGGGUGCGUAACGCGUGGGAACCUGCCCUUAGGUUCGGAAUAACUCCCCGAAAGGGGUGCUAAUACCGGAUAAUGUCUUCGGACCAAAGAUUUAUCGCCUUUGGAUGGGCCCGCGUUGGAUUAGCUAGUUGGUAGGGUAAAAGCCUACCAGGGCGACGAUCCAUAGCUGGUCUGAGAGGAUGAUCAGCCACACUGGGACUGAGACACGGCCCAAACUCCUACGGGAGGCAGCAGUGGGGAAUAUUGGACAAUGGGCGAAAGCCUGAUCCAGCAAUGCCGCGUGAGUGAUGAAGGCCUUAGGGUUGUAAAGCUCUUUUACCCGGGAUGAUAAUGACAGUACCGGGAGAAUAAGCUCCGGCUAACUCCGUG